AAGUAAAUACUUAUAUUAACAUAAAUAUAUAUUUGUGUUAACAAAUGUGUAUUUUAUAUUUAUUAAAAGUAACUAUUAUUUUAAUAAAAAGUAAUUAUGCAUAUGAAGUAAUAUUUUAAAAUUAGUACUUUUUUCACGAAAACUUGUAAUUUAAAUUAUUUGGAUAAGUAAUUAUAGUCGUAAGAAAAAAUAAUCAUUGAUGUGAAUAAAGGUAAUAUUAAAAAAAAGCAUAAAUAAAUGGAAAAAAUAGAAAAAAAGUUAAAAAUAAAAAAAUGAAACAAAAAAGCAUAAAAUAAAAAACUGAAAAAAAAAUAAAAAAUGAAAAAGACAAAAAACUAAAAGAAAAAGUAAAAAAGGAACAAAAAAACAAAAGAAAAAAUGAAAAAGAUAAAAAACUGAAAAAAGAAAAAGAAAAAUAGAAAAAGAGAGGAAAAAACGGAACAUAAAAACCCAAGAAAAUGGGACUAGUCCCUUGGAUUAAGAUUGGCGUUGAUUACCAGUACACCAAAGAGUGCCUUUGGUUUUAUUUAUUAAAAUCAGUUAUAUAAUACUCCCUUCGUCCCGACUUUUGGUAUCCAAUUGAGAACAGCACGAGUUUUAAUAAAGUGAUUGAUGUGUU
rnacentral:lncRNA from 1 species